rnacentral:rRNA from 1 species
CCUACGGGUGGCUGCAGUGGGGAAUAUUGCACAAUGGGCGCAAGCCUGAUGCAGCCAUGCCGCGUGUGUGAAGAAGGCCUUCGGGUUGUAAAGCACUUUCAGCGGGGAGGAAGGCGUUAAGGUUAAUAACCUUGUCGAUUGACGUUACCCGCAGAAGAAGCACCGGCUAACUCCGUGCCAGCAGCCGCGGUAAUACGGAGGGUGCAAGCGUUAAUCGGAAUUACUGGGCGUAAAGCGCACGCAGGCGGUCUGUCAAGUCGGAUGUGAAAUCCCCGGGCUCAACCUGGGAACUGCAUUCGAAACUGGCAGGCUAGAGUCUUGUAGAGGGGGGUAGAAUGCCAGGUGUAGCGGUGAAAUGCGUAGAGAUCUGGAGGAAUACCGGUGGCGAAGGCGGCCCCCUGGACAAAGACUGACGCUCAGGUGCGAAAGCGUGGGGAGCAAACAGGAUUAGAUACCCUAGUAGUC